GGAUGGUGGCUCAGUGAUAGAGCGCUUGCCUAGCAUGUGUGAGGUACUGGAUUCGAUCCUCAGCACCA
rnacentral:tRNA from 1 species